GCUUGAGGAUUGAAAUGUGAGCUCGUGGAUUGCUGCUUCAGUCACCAUUCUUGACUGCUGCUACACUUUCCUGCUCUCCUGGCGAUGGGCUCAUCUCUCUGGAACCGCUCGCACUGGAUGUGAACCUGUCCAUGGCAUAGCCCCACCUCUGCUUUCCUGUCUCACUAGAGGCUGAAUUCUAGAAAUGCUUUGGCUAAAGGUACAGAGUCAUUGUCCUAAGCCUGAUGUCACCACGGAUUCUAAGAAGAGCAAGACUUCACAGACAGCAACAGAAAAGUAAUGAAGACAACAUCCAAAGGAAAACAGGAUUCUCUCACAGAGUCAUCUGUAGCUCCAUUCAGCAAAGCAUUAUUUUCAAUAGUGACCAAUGGAUAAAGGAAACGUGGCACACAAUGAUAUAGCUUUAUAAAGAAGGACACCCUGGCAUUGACCACAACAGAAAUGAAUGUACAGGACUUUGUGUUAAGUGACAUAAGUCAGGCACAAAAAGGUAAGCAUUACGUUCCUUAAGUUGUGUAGAAAGCCCUCCCCCACAAAGUCAAACUCACAGUAGCAGAAAGUAGAAUGGGAGUUGACAGGAGCUAGGAGGCUAAAGGAGGGGUUGGUCAAGGUGGAAAAUACAUUUGCAAUAGUCACUCUUUAAGCAUAGACUUAAUAAUACUGAAUUGUGUGUGUAAAAAUCUGUUACAAGAAUAGCUCUUGUGUUAAAUGUCCCUUACAUAGUAAUCCUGAUCAUCAUCAUAGGUGGAUGAAGUCUCUGCAAGAGAUAGGCUUAUGCCGUAUGUUGUGGCAAUGGUUUCAUAGAUGCAUAAGUAUUGCUAACUUACGUUGUUUACAUUAAAUAUGUGAGGCUGCCUUUGUUCUUGUUUCGACAGUAGGUCUUCUGCAGCUUGGGCUAGCCUCUAACUCAUUAUGUAGCCAAGAACGAACUUCUGGUCUUCCUGCCUCCACUUAUUAUAUGCUGGUAUAAAAGACAUGUGCCACCAUGCCUUGCAUAGCUGUUUUAAUGUAAAUUAUUCCUCAAUAAAAUGGUUGUUUAAAAAAUGAGUGGUUUUCAUUGUUAAAAAGUAAAGUAUACAUUUUCUUAAACUAACUGACAAUUUAUUUACUUGGCCAAAUAUUAUAAUCUAUU